UUCUUUGCGCAGUGGCAGUAUCGUAGCCAAUGAGGUUUAUCCGAGGCACGAUUAUUGCUAAUUGAAAUUCUAAAAGUUGUAUAAUGAGACUGUAGUUAAAGGAAGGUUUUUGGUUUUGUUUGUUUUCCUUUCAGCUUAAAACA